rnacentral:rRNA from 1 species
GACAGAGGGUGCAAACGUUGCUCGGAAUUACUGGGCGUAAAGCGCGCGCAGGCGGCUAUCCAAGUCAGUGGUGAAAGCCCGGAGCUCAACUCCGGAACUGCCAUUGAAACUGUUUAGCUUGAGGAUGAGAGAGGUGAGUGGAAUUCCCAGUGUAGAGGUGAAAUUCGUAGAUAUUGGGAAGAACACCGGUGGCGAAGGCGGCUCACUGGCUCAUUACUGACGCUCAGGCGCGAUAGCGUGGGGAUCAAACAGG